rnacentral:rRNA from 1 species
GACGUAGGGGGGCCAGCGUUGCUCGGAAUUACUGGGGUGUAAAGGGUUCGUAGGCGGUGUGGCAAGUCGGGAGUGAAAUCUCUGGGCUCAACCCAGAGUCUGCUUCCGAAACUGCUGUGCUUGAGUGUGGGAGAGGCGCGUGGAAUUGCAGGUGUAGCGGUGAAAUGCGUAGAUAUCUGCAGGAACACCCGUGGCGAAGGCAGCCCCCCUGGGCUAACACUGACGCUCAGGCACAAAGCGUGGGGA